CACGAAGGGGGCUAGCGUUGCUCGGAAUCACUGGGCGUAAAGGGUGCGUAGGCGGGUCUUUUAAGUCAGGGGUGAAAUCCUGGAGCUCAACUCCAGAACUGCCUUUGAUACUGAAGAUCUUGAGUUCGGGAGAGGUGAGUGGAACUGCGAGUGUAGAGGUGAAAAUUCGUAGAUAUUCGCAAGAACACCAGUGGCGAAGGCGGCUCACUGGCCCGAUACUGACGCUGAGGCACGAAAGCGUGGGGAGCAAACAGGG
rnacentral:rRNA from 1 species